UACGUAGGUGGCAAGCGUUGUCCGGAAUUAUUGGGCGUAAAGCGCGCGCAGGCGGUCCUUUAAGUCUGAUGUGAAAGCCCACGGCUCAACCGUGGAGGGUCAUUGGAAACUGGGGGACUUGAGUACAGAAGAGAAGAGUGGAAUUCCCGGUGUAGCGGUGAAAUGCGCAGAUAUCGGGAGGAACACCAGUAGCGAAGGCGGCACUCUGGGCCGGUACUGACGCUGAGGAGCGAAAGCGUGGGGAGCGAACAGG
rnacentral:rRNA from 1 species